GAUGAAGAACGCAGCGAAAUGCGAUAAGUAAUGUGAAUUGCAGAAUUCAGUGAAUCAUCGAAUCUUUGAACGCACAUUGCGCCCGCCAGUAUUCUGGCGGGCAUGCCUGUUCGAGCGUCAUUACAACCCUCAGGCCCCCGGGCCUGGCGUUGGGGAUCGGCGGAGCCCCACGUGGGCACACGCCGUCCCCCAAAUGCAGUGGCGGUCCCGCCGCAGCUUCCAUCGCGUAGUAGCUAACACCUCGCGACUGGAGAGCGGCGCGGCCACGCCGUAAAACACCCAACUCUUCUGAAGUUGACCUCGAAUCAGGUAGGAAUACCCGCUGAACUUAAGCAUAUCAAUAAGCGGAGGA
rnacentral:misc_RNA from 1 species